AUCCAAGCCUCAGUCUUCCAAGUCUAAGUCAUCCAAGCCUAAGUCUUCCAAGUCCAAGUCUUCCAAGUCCAAGUCUUUAAAGUCUAAGUCAUCUGCCCGAAGUGCUC
rnacentral:ribozyme from 1 species